rnacentral:rRNA from 1 species
UACGUAGGGUGCAAGCGUUGUCCGGAAUUAUUGGGCGUAAAGAGCUUGUAGGCGGUUUGUCGCGUCUGCUGUGAAAUUCCAGGGCUUAACCCUGGGCUUGCAGUGGGUACGGGCAGACUAGAGUGUGGUAGGGGAGACUGGAAUUCCUGGUGUAGCGGUGAAAUGCGCAGAUAUCAGGAGGAACACCGAUGGCGAAGGCAGGUCUCUGGGCAGUAACUGACGCUGAGGAGCGAAAGCGUGGGGAGCGAACAGG